CUACACCUGAAGAGAAAAGGGAAACAGUUGUUGGACUGUGAGGGAAGGGUCUUGACCUACACAGUUUAGUCAGUAAGACUGCUGAAAGCAUGUGAAAUUCUAGGUGUCAGUUCCCUCUCUUUGGUAAUGGACCCUGAAUAUCUUUGGAUAACUUGAAUAGUGAUGCUCAACAAGACUUCAACCUGAGCAGCAACCUAAGGAGGUGGGAUAGAAUAGAACCCUGCAGCACUUCAGACAAGUGGAGAAAGAGCAAUUGUCCAGCACAACC